rnacentral:rRNA from 1 species
GUGAACGCUGGCGGUAGGCCUAACACAUGCAAGUCGAACGGCAGCACAGUAAGCGCUUGCUCUUACGGGUGGCGAGUGGCGGACGGGUGAGGAAUACAUCGGAAUCUACUUUUUCGUGGGGGAUAACGUAGGGAAACUUACGCUAAUACCGCAUACGACCUACGGGUGAAAGCAGGGGAUCUUCGGACCUUGCGCGAUUGAAUGAGCCGAUGUCGGAUUAGCUAGUUGGCGGGGUAAAGGCCCACCAAGGCGACGAUCCGUAGCUGGUCUGAGAGGAUGAUCAGCCACACUGGAACUGAGACACGGUCCAGACGCCUACGGGAGGCAGCAGUGGGGAAUAUUGGACAAUGGGCGCAAGCCUGAUCCAGCCAUACCGCGUGGGUGAAGAAGGCCUUCGGGUUGUAAAGCCCUUUUGUUGGGAAAGAAAAGCAGCAGGUUAAUACCCCGCUGUUCUGACGGUACCCAAAGAAUAAGCACCGGCUAACUUCGU